GCGAAUAGCAGCUUUGACUUCGGUACUUCGCAGGCGGUUUCGCUGCCAGUAUCCUAAAAACAUAGCACAAGCAAUAGUUCAUAAUAAUUUGUGAAAACGAUGGCAACGUUAUGAGCCGCGGCAAAGCACGCUGCUCUACCAGGCUCAAAAUUGAUUGAUGUUGGCGAUCAAGGGCAGCUCGAUGUUGGCCAUGAUCAGCUGCUCCGUGGAGUUGUAUUUGGUGUUAAACUCUGGCAACGUCUUGUCUGCCAGAGCACAUUUUGUGAUGUGUUCGACUGUUCGAACAAAACUGAGAAAGUUGCUUUUUUUGUGUUUGUACUUUUAAAUAGUACAUUAUACAAAAAUUGUGGCGCCUACUGCUUAACUACAUAUGUGUAGUGGCAGACAUGGCUAUUAAAUGGCAGGGUAACAUUGGUUACAAUAAUGGCUAUUUGGUAAUUUAACAGUGUUGGAUAUAGCUAAGGUAAUACUAAUCUUAGUAUUAAUUUGUGUUUUGUGUAGAUUGCUUACAAUGUUUUAAUUUACAUGUGGAUUUGGUGCGUUGGUGUUAUUGCGACUGAUCUCCAUAUUAUGAGUUGAGAAGGGAUUUCUUCGCCAGUUUUCGCGUCUAGCCUGUGAUUGUUCUGAGUGCUUUGUUUUGUAAUUUUUACAGUUUGUCCAUUUGCGUGCUAGAUGUUAGGGGUCCCCAGACUGGCAUGGCGUACUGCCAUAUUGGGGCAACCAGUUGCUUGAAGAGAAGGACUUUCAGGUGCAGGGUAAGAUUGCUUCUUCUGACUACAGCAGCUACAUGUUUGUUGAAGUUGAGCUUCUCAUCCAUCUGCACGCCAAGGUAUGGUAGGACCGUUUUUUUGGGUAAGUGUUGCCCAGCUACCGUAGGUGCUGGAGUCUGUUGUUGCGCAGGUGAGAGUGAAUGCAAGACAUGUGCAGUUUUUGUGAGACUAACGGUAAUUCCCCAUUUUUUGACCAGGAGUGAGCGUCAGCUAGAAGCCUCUCCAUGGAUUCGUUGCCAUGUCGUGGGUUAAAAGCAGACACCAGGUAGACCGCGUCGUCUGCAUAAGUUGCUAGGAGUUGCGUUUGAGUAUUGCUUAUUUGUGGCUGUGGCAUGUCGGCAGUGUAUACGUUGUAUUGCACUGGGCCAAGGACGCUGCCUUGCGGGACUCCUGCAGCUACAUGCUUUUGGCUUGAGAUGGUAUUCCCACAACAGACGAUUUUGAAGGUUCUGUCCAUAAGAUAGCUGGUGAGUGGGAUGAAUAAUUUGUCCGGUAUUAUGGUUUUGGUUUUGCAGAGAAGACCCUGAUGCCAGACUCUAUCGAAAGCUUCCUGAAUGUCCAUGUAGACAGCACAGCAAGGUCGCUGCUGUCCAUAAGACCUGAGGAUAAAUUGUGUGGCUCGUCCGACUUGCUUCUCUGCGGAGUGCUGACUUCUAAAGCCAAAUUGAUGAUUUGGUAUGGCCAUGGCAAAAUGUUCUUCAAAGAGACGUGUUUGAAUAAGGCGCUCGAAUAUUUUUGAGAAUUCUGUUAGAAGACUGAUAGGCCUGUAUGAUUGAAGUUUAUCCGGCGGCUUUCCUGGCUUCUGUAUCAUUGUAAUUUUGGCACAUUUCCAAGCUUUUGGGAAAUACCCAAUCUGCAGGGCAGAUUUGAAUAUUAGCAUAAGUUUUUUGAUUUCAGAUUUUAAUUCGUUGAUGGUAAAAGGUCUGAUUUUUUGUUCGUCUGGUGGAUCGCUACUUUGCAGCACUGAUUCAAUUUCCUCCCUGUCUUCUAGAUCUGCCGUGAUUCUGAGAAUGAGAUAAGUAAUGUGUAGAAACCGGCUGGAAAUUUUUUUUUUUUGAUGGCUCGUUUAUUGAAUUUUUUUUGGAAGUGUGUUUGUCGUGUGAACAAUAUUGGAAGACUAACUUUAUGAA